rnacentral:rRNA from 1 species
GCAGUCGAACGGGGGACCCCUGAAGGAGUUUUCGGACAACGGAAGGGAAUCCCUAGUGGCGGACGGGUGAGUAACGCGUGAGUAACCUGCCUUGGAGUGGGGAAUAACAGCUGGAAACAGCUGCUAAUACCGCAUAAAACGUCUGUGUCGCAUGGCACUGGACGUCAAAGAUUUAUCGCUCUGAGAUGGACUCGCGUCUGAUUAGCUAGUUGGUGGGGCAACGGCCCACCAAGGCGACGAUCAGUAGCCGGACUGAGAGGUUGGCCGGCCACAUUGGGACUGAGACACGGCCCAGACUCCUACGGGAGGCAGCAGUGGGGAAUAUUGGGCAAUGGGCGAAAGCCUGACCCAGCAACGCCGCGUGAAGGAAGAAGGCUUUCGGGUUGUAAACUUCUUUUGUCAGGGACGAAGCAAGUGACGGUACCUGACGAAUAAGCCACGGCUAACUACGUGCCAGCAGCCGCGGUAAUACGUAGGUGGCAAGCGUUAUCCGGAUUUACUGGGUGUAAAGGGCGUGUAGGCGGGACUGCAAGUCAGAUGUGAAAACUCAGGGCUCAACCCUGAGCCUGCAUUUGAAACUGUAGUUCUUGAGUACUGGAGAGGCAGACGGAAUUCCUAGUGUAGCGGUGAAAUGCGUAGAUAUUAGGAGGAACACCAGUGGCGAAGGCGGUCUGCUGGACAGCAACUGACGCUGAGGCGCGAAAGCGAGGGGAGCAAACAGGAUUAGAUACCCUGGUAGUCCACGCUGUAAACGAUGGAUACUAGGUGUGGGGGGACUGACCCCCUCCGU